rnacentral:rRNA from 1 species
GACGAACGCUGGCGGCGUGCCUAAUACAUGCAAGUAGAACGCUGAAGGAGGAGCUUGCUCUUCUGGAUGAGUUGCGAACGGGUGAGUAACGCGUAGGUAACCUGCCUGGUAGCGGGGGAUAACUAUUGGAAACGAUAGCUAAUACCGCAUAAGAGUAGAUGUCGCAUGACAUUUGCUUAAAAGGUGCAAUUGCAACACUACCAGAUGGACCUGCGUUGUAUUAGCUAGUUGGUGAGGUAACGGCUCACCAAGGCAACGAUACAUAGCCGACCUGAGAGGGUGAUCGGCCACACUGGGACUGAGACACGGCCCAGACUUCUACGGGAGGCAGCAGUAGGGAAUCUUCGGCAAUGGACGGAAGUCUGACCGAGCAACGCCGCGUGAGUGAAGAAGGUUUUCGGAUCGUAAAGCUCUGUUGUAAGAGAAGAACGAGUGUGAGAGUGGAAAGUUCACACUGUGA